GGGUCGUUAGCUCAGUCGGUAGAGCAGCGGACUUUUAAUCCGACGGUCGAGGGUUCAAGCCCCUCACGACCCA
rnacentral:tRNA from 2 species